AUGUCAUCUGUGCUGGAGACACAUGCUGAGAAGAAGGAGUGUGUGGAGGCCCUCUCUGCUCAACUACAAGAAGCUAAUGCCGAGUUGCGUACAGCUGGAGAAAGGGUCAAGCAACUAGAGUCGGACCAUUCCGCCAAGCAAGCUGAAGCCAAGAAGCUGCAUGAAGAUUUGCUCGAAGCUAAUGUGAAAGCUUCAAAGGAACUGGAGGCUCUCAAAGGGAAGAUAUGA
rnacentral:rRNA from 1 species